GCCACCUUAGCUUAGGGGCAGAGCGUUGGUCUUGUAAACCAAAGGUCGUCGGUUCGAUUCCGAUAGGUGGCA
rfam:Bursaphelenchus xylophilus, Ka4C1 (inbred line), WGS project CADV01000000 data, contig: scaffold00298.4